AACGAACGCUGGCGGCAGGCUUAACACAUGCAAGUCGAACGCCCGUAGCAAUACGGGAGUGGCGGACGGGUGAGUAACGCGUGGGAACGUACCCUGAGGUACGGAAUAACCGAGGGAAACUUCGGCUAAUACCGUAUGAGCCCCGCAAGGGGGAAAGAUUUAUCGCCUUGGGAGCGGCCCGCGUCGGAUUAGCUAGUUGGUGGGGUAACGGCCUACCAAGGCUUUCGAUCCGUAGCUGGUCUGAGAGGACGAUCAGCCACACUGGGACUGAGACACGGCCCAGACUCCUACGGGAGGCAGCAGUGGGGAAUCUUGCGCAAUGGGGGCAAGCCUGACCCAGCGACGCCGCGUGGAGGACGAAGGGCUUCGGCUCGUAAACUCCUUUUCCCGUGGACGAGAGAAGGACGGUACACGGGGAAUAAGUCUCGGCUAACUACGUG
rnacentral:rRNA from 1 species